AGCAGUGACAUCCCGACAAAGGGGCAUUACGUGUGCCUGCGCUCGCAACCCCCACAUGCACGCACACCCAUGCGUAUUGUUUAGCGCGCUCUCUCUCUCUCUCUGGAAAAGGCUGUCUGGUUAACAAAGAGGCGCACGCGCAGUGAUCACAAGACUCCGUGUGUGAGUGCGUGCGUCCAAGUCUGUCCGGUUACGCUCAAAAGCGUUGUUGGUUAUGUGUAUGGGAAGGAACGAGAGAGAGAAGCGGGGUGUGUGUGCGUGGUGUUUCUGGGUGGAAGUGAGUUUGCGAUUAUUGCAUGAGCCCCCUGCGUCUGGUUCUAUGUCUGGCGAAAGGGAAUGGGGACUUUGUUCCUUGACCGGUCCCGGCACCCUCGAUAGGCUUUGCCAAUCAAUGGUCCAUGCAAAUGGAACCAGGCCACA
rnacentral:rRNA from 1 species